UGGAGAGUUCCUCAAGAGGAUUUCAAGAGAGGAUUUUCUUUCCAUCAGCGCAUGAUCAGAGGCAUGAGGAGGGUGAGGAACUUUAUCCACGAUUGCCAGACAGAGUUAAUAAUGAAGACUUGAAAGGCAACAUCAGGAAUCAAGGCAGACCUGAGAGGAAGAAAGACAACCAUUUUUUUGAGAAGAGAGAUGGAAGAAAGCAUAACGCAGCUCUUCCAAAGCACAAUGUACUGAAGACAGGUAAA